GGUUGUGUAGUCUAGUUGGUGAGGACGUCGGAUUCUGAUUAUCUAGAAUCUUACGUUCCGAAAACCUGGGUUCGAAUCCCAGCAUAACCU